GCGAUAUGGGAACUAAAUAUGAAGGGAUCAUCUCUCGUCUCCAAGAUUUGGGAAGGAGAAGACAAGAGCAAGGUAGAGGAAUUUUCAUGUGGAGAUAACAAUACUGGUAGUGAAACUCCAGCAAGGCCGUUGUGAAUUAUGCUGGAGAAUGAUGGAUAGUUGAAGCUGAGUUUUUGACCGUUCCAUUUCUCUUAACUUUGUUUCAGCUAGCCAACAUAUAGAUUUGGCUCUACUCAAAUUUUUUUAUUCACGCCAGCAUUACCCAAUUGUCUGCUAGUUGCUGAGCAAUUUUUGAAUAUCAAACAGACCUCUUCAGAAGAUAAUCUUAAUGUGGCCUAUUUUCGCUCUUUUGCAGUUAGUUUCGCCACGGCACCAGCUGCUCUAACUGCUUGUCCUUUCUUUCCUAAUGUCAUUUCUGUAUAUGUAUUGCUACUUCGUAAAAUAUUUGUAGUUAAGCUUUUUAUACAAAUGAGCAGGAUGCUUUUGUAAGGUAGUUGCAAGUUGAGCGUGAAUAAGAAAAUGCAUUACUUAAUAUGUGUAAUUUGGCCGACGGCCUGACCCCGUUGGUAAUAAUGUAGUCUCUGGACUUGAUUAACUUAUUCCAUACAAAUUGAGCAGGAUGCUUUUGUAAGGUAGUUGCGAGUUGAGAGUGAAUAAGAAAAUGCAUUACUUAAUAUGAGUAAUUUGGCCGA